AGAGUUUGAUCCUGGCUCAGAUUGAACGCUGGCGGCAUGCCUUACACAUGCAAGUCGAACGGCAGCACGGGAGCAAUCCUGGUGGCGAGUGGCGAACGGGUGAGUAAUAUAUCGGAACGUGCCCAGUAAUGGGGGAUAGCCCGGCGAAAGCCGGAUUAAUACCGCAUACGACCUAUGGGUGAAAGCGGGGGAUCGCAAGACCUCGCGUUAUUGGAGCGGCCGAUAUCAGAUUAGCUUGUUGGUGGGGUAAAAGCCCACCAAGGCGACGAUCUGUAGCUGGUCUGAGAGGACGACCAGCCACACUGGGACUGAGACACGGCCCAGACUCCUACGGGAGGCAGCAGUGGGGAAUUUUGGACAAUGGGCGCAAGCCUGAUCCAGCCAUGCCGCGUGUGGGAAGAAGGCCUUCGGGUUGUAAACCACUUUUGUCAGGGAAGAAACGGUUCCUACUAAUAUUGGGAGCUAAUGACGGUACCUGAAGAAUGAGCACCGGCUAACUACGUGCCAGCAGCCGCGGUAAUACGUAGGGUGCAAGCGUUAAUCGGAAUUACUGGGCGUAAAGCGUGCGCAGGCGGCUUUGCAAGACAGAUGUGAAAUCCCCGGGCUCAACCUGGGAACUGCAUUUGUGACUGCAUGGCUAGAGUACGGUA
rnacentral:rRNA from 1 species